rnacentral:lncRNA from 1 species
GGCCGCGCAGGCGCAGUGGCUCUUCUGUUCACCUGCUGGGGAGCAGGAUCCCGGAAGGAGCGGAGGUGAAGCGGCGGUGACUGAGCCGGGGAGCGGAGUUACCAUUGCUCGCGGGAGGAGCUCGGUUCCCAACCACCCCUGAGCCCCAGGCCGCGGGGAGAGGGAACGGGGCGCGGGAGAGAGACUGACGGCCCGUCCCGGAGCCAGAGCGGGGACCGGCAGCGGGGGCGGCUCCCCCUGUUCCCCUUGCCGCCCCCUUCUCCCCGGGGCGCGGGGGGGCCGCAGCCAUGUUCAAGAAACUGAGGCAGAAAAUCGUCGAGGAGCAAACACAGCCGCGGAGCCCCGGGGGGCGGGCGCCCCAGCAGCCGCAGACCUACUCCAAAUCUUCCCCACCAUCACCAGGCAACAGGAGCAGAACAUCUUCACUUACAGAACAAUCUGAUGAAGGCACUUUAACACCAGACAAAGAGUCUGCACAGUAAUGCACACACUCUACAGACAAACAGGAGAAUCAAAGGCCGCCCACAGGAUAUGCCAAGUUGCAUUACCCAUGCUCUAAAUACAGUGGUUAAGGCUGGGAAGAGG